rnacentral:rRNA from 1 species
UACGGAGGGAGCUAGCGUUGUUCGGAAUUACUGGGCGUAAAGCGCACGUAGGCGGCGAUCUAAGUCAGAGGUGAAAGCCCGGGGCUCAACCCCGGAAUUGCCUUUGAGACUGGAUUGCUAGAAUCCGGGAGAGGUGAGUGGAAUUCCGAGUGUAGAGGAGAAAUUCGUAGAUAUUCGGAAGAACACCAGUGGCGAAGGCGGCUCACUGGACCGGCAUUGACGCUGAGGUGCGAAAGCGUGGGGAGCAAACAGG